CCUACGGGGGGCAGCAGUGGGGAAUAUUGGACAAUGGGGGGAACCCUGAUCCAGCCAUGCCGCGUGUGUGAAGAAGGCCCUCGGGUUGUAAAGCACUUUCAGUGAGGAAGAACGCCUGGUGGUUAAUACCCAUCAGGAAAGACAUCACUCACAGAAGAAGCACCGGCUAACUCCGUGCCAGCAGCCGCGGUAAUACGGAGGGUGCGAGCGUUAAUCGGAAUUACUGGGCGUAAAGCGCGCGUAGGUGGCUUGAUAAGUCGGUUGUGAAAGCCCCGGGCUCAACCUGGGAACGGCAUCCGGACCUGUCCAGCUAGAGUGCAGGAGAGGAAGGUAGAAUUCCCGGUGUAGCGGUGAAAUGCGUAGAGAUCGGGAGGAAUACCAGUGGCGAAGGCGGCCUUCUGGACUGACACUGACACUGAGGUGCGAAAGCGUGGGUAGCAAACAGGAUUAGAUACCCUGGUAGUC
rnacentral:rRNA from 1 species